rnacentral:tRNA from 1 species
AAGGUUUUAAGUUAAAUAAACUAUUAGCCUUCAAAGCUGAAAAUAAAUAUAUUAAUUUAAGCCUUA